UGCCCAGCAACUCCUAUCCCUACCUCCUCGCGGUACCGGCCGGAAACUUUGAGCAACCAACCACGGUGGGAACUUUGGUCGUAGACUGACAGGGAAGG
rnacentral:ribozyme from 1 species